GUUGUUUUUGUGAAAUAGAAAUUGAAAAUAUUUUAAUUACUACGCCAAUCCUUCCAAGUUCGUUAGAAGCUGACCAGUUCGAUGCUGGAAAAGCUAUAGCUCUGUGACUAUGGUAGAGACAUUUUCUUAUGGGCACAUUAACAUUUAAAUUUUUAAAAGAAAAAAAAAAUUAAAGGAAGCCCUUGGUGGGCUUGACAGGCAAUGCCAACUAUUUUAUCAAAACUAUCUGAUGGCACAAACAGCCUGGCCCGGGAGCCUUCUCCAUCAUAUUGGCUUAGGUGUGUGUUAACUAGUUAAUGCUUCCAUAGGAUCAAAUUUGUUAUUAGGCAGUGUGGAUGAUAAAAAAUACUUUUUUUUUUGUGGUUUUCUUGAUUUG
rnacentral:misc_RNA from 1 species